GGUAUCACAUCUAUCUAUUCAUUUAUUUAUUUAACUGAUAUUUAUUGAGUACCCACUAUGUAGCACUCAGUGUACUGGGUGUUGAAAAUAAAGCAUGAGCAAAACAAAGAUUCCUGCCCCCAUGGAAUUUAUGUUCCAGUGAGAAAGGUAGACUAGACACAACAAAUAUAAAAACAUAUAUAUCAGGCUGGGCACGGUGGCUCACACCUGUAAUCCCAGCACUUUGGGAGGUGGAGGUGGGAGGAUCACUUGAGGCCAGGAAUUUGAGAGCAGCCUUGGCAACAUCACGAAACCCCAUCUAAUUUUUUUUAAAAAGCUGGAUGUGGUGGUGUGCACCUGUAGUCCCAGCUAUUCAGAAGCCUGGGGUGGAAGGAUCAUGUGAGUCCAGGAGUUUAAGGCACACCAGCCUGCGUGAGAGAGUGAGACCCAAUCUUGUUAAAAAAAAAAAAAAAAAAAAAAAGGGCCAGUCGCUGUGGCUUACGCCUGUAAUCCCAGCACUUUGGGAAGCCAAGGUGGGCAGGUUAUGAGGUCAGGAGAUUGAGACCAUCCUGGCUAACAUGGUGAAACCUCGUCUCUACGAAAAAUACAAAAACUUAGCUAGGCGUGGUGGCAUGCACUUGUAGUCCCAGCUACUCGGGAGGCUGAGGCAGGAGAAUCACUUGAAUCCGGGAGGCGGAGGUUGUAGUGAGCCACCGAGAUCAUGCCACUGCACUCUAGCCUCGGUGACAGAGCAAGACUCCAUCAAAAAAAAAGGCAGGCCGGUGCUGUGGCUCAUGCCUGUAAUCCCAGCACUUUGGGAGGCCAAGGCAGGCAGAUCACGAGGUCAGGAGUUUGAGACCAGCCUGACCAAUACGGUGAAACCCUGUCUCUACUAAAAAUACAAAAAUUAGCCAGGCAUGGUAGUGUGCGCCUGUAAUCCCAGCUACUCAGGAGGCUGAGGCAGGAGAAUCACUUGAACCCGGGAGGUUGCAGUGAGCCGAGAUUGCUCCAUUGCACUCCAGCCUGGGUGACAGAGUGAGACUCCGUCUCAAAAAAAAAAAAAAAAAAGCAGUAAUAUAGACAAGAGAAGAUGGUGAAUUAGACCAGGGUAAUAGUGAUGGAAGUGGUGAGAAGUGGUAAGAAGUGACUGGAUUCUGAAUUUAUUUCAGAAAUAGAGUUAAUAGGGUUCCUGGAUAGAUUGGAUGUGGAGUAUGAAGGAAAGAGAGUAGUCAAGAAUGACUCCAAGGUUUUUGGCCUGAGAAACUGGAAGAUUGGAAUUGCCAUCCACUCAGAUUGGGGAGGUUGUGGGUAGUAAGUAAAGGCUUUGGCAGGACGAUCAGAAAUGCUCUUUUGGACAUCAUGAAUUGGCAAUUUCUAUUAGUAUCCACGUGGAGAUGUCAAGGAGGGAGUUGGAUAUUUCAGCUUGGAAUUCAGUAGAGAGUUCUGGGCUAGAGAGAUAAAUGUGUGAGCUGUCGGCCUAUGGAUGGUAUUUAAAGUCAUGGCACUGAAGAGAUAACUGGGGGAAUGAAUAUAGAGAAGAGGACCAAGGCCAGAGCCCAUGGGACAUUCAGCAUGAAGAGGUUGGGGAGAAGAGAAGGAAUCAGGAAAGGGACAGUGAAAAAGUGAACAAUCAGAUGUGAUGGGGAGCCGGGCGCGGUGGCUCAUGCCUGUAAUCCCAGCAGUUUGUGAGGCCGAGGUGGAUGGAUCACCUGAGGUCAGGAGUUCAAGACCAGCCUGGGCAUCUUGGUGAAACCCCGUCUCUACUAAAAAUACAAAAAAUUAGCUGGGCAUGGUGGCAGGUGCCUGUAAUCCCAACUACUGGGGAGGCUGAGGCAGGAGAAUCGCUUGAACCCGGGAGACAGAGGUUGCAGUGAGCCAAGAUUGCGCCAUUGUACUCCAGCCUGAGCAACAGAGCAAGACUGUCUCUAAAAAAAAAAAAAAAAAAAGAAAAGAAAAUAUUGAGGGGCUACCUAGAGAGCAGGGUGUCCUGGAAGCCAAGUGAAAAAAAUAUUUCAAGGCUGAGGGAGUCAGCAGCUGUGGAAAUGUCUCUGGUGCUCUAAUGAAACCAUAUCAUUGGUGAACUUACCAAAAGAAAUGUUGGUAGAGCCUUUUUCUAGGUGUGACACCUAAUUUGGAGGAGGUUUAUAGAGAAAAUGAGACAAUGCUUUUGUGAUUACUUUAGGAGAGAUGCAGGCUAAAGGAUUUAGGGGUCAAGUUUUAUGAUGUUUCAAACUCACUUUCAAAUAGGAAAAAUGUAUAGAUGCAUAUAUAUUUAUAUUUUUAUAUAUAAAGCAAAAAUAUUUAAAAUUGGUGAAUCUAAGUGAUAUGUAAAUGCAUAAUUCUUACAUUAUUUUUCAACCUUCUGUAUGUAUUUUUAACAUUUUUCAUAAUUACAGGAUGUUGGGGAAAAGAGUAGACAGAUGGCCGGGCGUGGUGUCUCACGCCUUUUAUCCCAGCACUUGGGGAGUCCGAGGCUAGUGGAUCACCUGAGGCCAGGAGUUCGAGACCAGCCUGGCCAACAUGGUGAAACCCCAUCUCUACUGAAAAUACAAAAAUUACCCAGGCGUGAUGGCACACGCCUGUAAUCCCAGCUACUUGGAAGGCUGAGGCAGGAGAAUUGCUUGAACCCAGGAAGUGGAGGUUACGGUGAGCCAAGAUCGCAGUGCCACUGCACUCCAGCCUGGGUGACAGAGGGAGACUGUCUCAAAAAAAAAAAAAAACCAACAAAACCCAAAUAAGAGUGGACAGACAGGAAUUGGAAACUAUAAAGAUAACUCUCUCAAAGAACUUUGCUAGUUAAGAGUUGUUUUUUCUGUUAUUUUGUGUGUGUGUGUGUGUGUGUGUGUGUGUGUGUGUGUGUAUGUCUGUUUUUUUGUGAGAGAGGAUCUCACUCUGUCACCCAGGCUGGAGUGCACUCUUUGUUUACUUCCAUCCCAUCGCGAGGCCAGGUUUCGCCAGCCUGUUGUGAGAGGACAUGUUAGGUGAGGCCAUUACACCUAACCGUAGCUUACUGCAGCCUCAACCUCCUGGGCUCAAGCAGUCCUCCCACCUCAGCCUCCCAAGUAGCUAGGACUACAGGCAUGCACCAUCACACCCAGCUAAUUUUUGUAUUUUUUGUAGAGACAGUGUUGGGUGGGGUGUUUUGUCAUGUUGCCCAGACUGGUCUCAAACUCCUGAGCUUAGGCAUUCCUCCUGCCUUGGCCUUACAAAGUGGUAGGAUUACAGGUGUGAACUACUCCACCUGGCCUGUUUUUUUUCCUUCUUUUUGAGUCAGUGUCUCACUCUGUCACUCAGGCUAGAGUGUAGUGGUAUGAUCAUAGCUCACUGUAACCUCGACCUCCUGGGCUCAAGCAAUCCUCCCGUCUCAGCUUCCCAAGUAGCUGGGACUACAGGCAAACGCCACCUCACUUGCCUAGUUAAAAAAUUUUUUGUAGAGAUGGGAUCUCGUUCUGUCGCUUGGGCUGGUCUCGAACUCCUGGGCUCAAGUGAUCCUCCUGCCUCAGACUGCCAAAGUCUGGGAUUACAGGCGUGAGCCACCACACCUGGCCUGUUUUAUUUAUUUAUUUUUCUUUUUGAGUCAGGAUCUCACUCUGUCACCCAGGCUGAUCUCAAACUCCUGGGCUCAAGCGAUUCUUCUGGCUCAGCCUCCCAAAGUUUGGGAUUACAGUAGUGAGCAACCACACUUGGUGGGGUUUUUUUUGUUUUGUUUUGUUUUGUUUUGUUUUUUAGAUGGAAAAAAUUUACCACGUUUGUAAUAAUCUAGAGAGGAAUAAUGAGAGAAAGAGAAGGAAAAGAAGAUACAAGAAAGCAAAGAGAGAAUUGCAGCAGCCAUUUCCUGGAUGUAGUACAUGGAUAGGGGAGGAAUCACCCACAGACAGGAGCAAGGAGAGUUCACCUGUGGUGUCAGGUGGGCAGGCAGAGCAUGUGGGUGCAGGUACUGGUCACUGCCCAAUGUGGUGUGCAUCUAUAAAACUCUUCUGCUUGCUUUAGUUUUUUGUUUUUUUUUUCCCCCUAGAGACAGUGUCUCACUCUGUCUCCCAGGCUGGAGUGCAAUAGCACAACCAUGGCUCGCUUCAGCCUUGAACUCCUAGGUUCAAGUGAUCCUCCUGCCUUGACCUCCUGACUAGCUGAGACUACAGACACACGCCACUGUGCCCGGCUAAUUAAAAUAAUUUUUUUUGUAGAGACAGGGAUCUCACUAUGUUGCCCAGGCUGGUCUUGAACUCCUAGCAUCAAGCGAUCCUCCUGUCUCUGCCUCCCAAAGUGCUGAGAUUACAAGCCUGAGCCACUGUGCCCCAGCCUGCGUAAAUUUUCUUUUUUUCUUUUUUUUUUUUUUUGAGGCAGAGUCUUGCUCUGUCGCCCAGGCUGGAGUGCAGUGGUGCAAUCUCGGCUCACUGUAACCUCUGCCUCCCAGGUUCAAGCAAUUCUCCUCCAGGCAUGCGCCACCAUGCCCAGCUAAUUUUUGUAUUUUUAGUAGAGGCAGGGUUUUGCCAUGUUGCCCAGGCUGGUCUUGAACUCCGGAGCUCAAGUGAUUUGCCCAUCUCGGCCUCCCAAAGUGCUGGGAUUACAGGCAUGAACCACCACGCCCAGGCUUAAAUUUUCUUAGUGAAAUGGGAAGCAAGGCCCCUCCCUCUGCCAGCAGUUAGGGGAGGAGGUGUGAACUAGCCAUUCAGGCAGUGGGAGAGUAAACAGAGCAGGAAUGGAUCAUAGGAACACCAGGUAGCAUUCAGCUCCCCACUUGAGGAUCUGUUUCUGAUGUGUUAGUUCAGGGGCCAGUCCUUCCUUGAAACAGCCAAAGAUUAAAUGGCCUCGUGAGGUUCUUUCCUGCUUGUGUGCCCACUUGAGGGUGCAUGUGGUACAGGAACACUGGACUUGGUGUCAGAUGGGAUGAGCCCUGGCUCUGUUUCCUAGCAGCAAUCUGAUCUUGAGCUAGUCACUGGACAUUUCUGAACCUCAGCUUCUGCAGAAUGCAAUGACAUCUUCCAAUGUAGCUCUGUAGUCAUUGUGUAGACCACAAGGUUGUACAGACGGCAGGUAAUAUUCUGGAGAGCCAAUUAAGAAUGUGAGCCCUGAAGUCACAAAGCCUGCAUUUGAAUCAUAGUUUACCCGUGUAACACCUCUGUUUCCUCAUCUGAACAGUGAAGGUUCUUGGCCUCAGUUGAAGAUGUGAGCAUUUAGUCAGUGGUGCUACAACAGCCGUGGUUGACAGAUGAAGUGUUCUCAAGGACCAAGCACAGGGUUUGACACUUUAGGCUCUGAUUCAUGUCCUGCCAAGCUGGGCCUGGAGGAAGCCCCCAAGCCUGGCUGGCAGCUGUUGUCCCAAGUGAGGGGGACAGUAAGCCAGGCCAGCAGUCCAGUUCAGGAAGGGGCCCACUUCAAAGGAGUGGGUCAAGAGCACUGUUUGCCUUUCUGGAGUGCUGGGCUGGGGCAAAAGGACCUGAGAGCUGAGGUGGUUCACCCAGACACCUGGGCAGAUGACUAAAAGAUGAUUGUCUUGUCUGGGAAAGAAGCCAGGAUGUGGUUUGGGUGGAGCUGGGUAAAGAACCUGGGUUUCAGAAUCAACUUCUUCCUUGUUGUGUAGGAAAAGGCGAGCCAGACUCAGGGAACAGUGGGACCCACUUCCCGGCGCUGUGCAAGUCAGAGUUCCUUGUAAGCAGGGUCUGGGCCUCACUUAUCAUGGAUUUGCCCUGGUGCCUUUCACUAUUGGUCGAAUUGAGUAUUUCGGAAGGAGAACUUGUUUAAAAGACAGCCACCGCCCACACAUUCAGAAUCCAUACUAUCCGUCUAUUACAGUGGAGUUAUCCAUUGUUUUCGCAGCUGUCUCC
rnacentral:lncRNA from 10 species